GCCUUGUCCAAGUGCAAUGAUGUUUACAAUUAAUUGAUCAGAGCCAGUUACAGAUUUCUUUGUUCCUUCUCCACUCCCACUGCUUCACUUGACUAGCCUAAA
rnacentral:Y_RNA from 1 species